ACCAACUCUAUGGAAGAUUAGGUUAACCCAAGCCCAUGUACACCCAUGACUCGACCUAAUCUCACCUAUCCUGGGCCCAGACCUGGCCCAUAAAGAGUUGGUCCCUAGAGGCCCACAUAACCUAGACAUCAAGAACCCGAAAGGCCCAUAGCCUUUCAACCUAGGGCCCAACUAGCCCUAGAGCCUCCAUGAAGCCCUCAUGAAUGAUGGACCUUGGCCUUAGCCUUGGUCCCCUGGGCCUUGGGCACACCACCUGGAUCACAACAAUCUCCACCUUGAUGUCCCAAGGCCUCAACCAGCUCCACUCUGUC
rnacentral:lncRNA from 1 species